AGGUUUUGAGGUGGGAGAUACGAUUCAAAGCACAACAAAGGGCAUUUGGGCUUGGUGUAAAGUACAUCCAACACUGCCGAAUACUGUUCUGCUGCUUCUUGAUACCGAAGGACUUGGCGAUCCUGAAAAGGGUGACCCAAUUCAUGACAACAAGAUUUUUACCCUCGCGACACUCCUUUGCAACUGUUUAGUCUACAACACAAAGGGAACGUUCGACUACGACACCAUCUCUAAACUCACAUUUGUAACAGAAAUGGCAAGUACUAUAAGAUUUCGGGGACAAUCGUCUGAGGAUAACCUUUCGAUUAAACUCAUUCUUCCUGACUUUGUUCUCUGUUUGAGAGAUUUCGGUCUAAAAUUGAUUAAGGAUGGGGAGAAGAUAUCAGAAAACGAUUAUCUUGAGCAAAGGUUAGCGGAAAACAAAGGCAAAGCAGAACAGUUCAACACACCAAGAACAUGCAUCAAAAAAAUACUUUACGAGACGCGAGUGCUUUGCUUUCCCAGUUCCAUGUUAUGAUAGUAGGGAUCUUUACAAUCUUGAAAAGUUGAGCUUUGCUGACUUAUCUACUACGUUUCAGGAAGUAACAACUCGAUUUUUAUCCUAUAUAUACAAAAUACCACCGAAAGAAUUGCUAGCCAGUAAACCAUUAAAUGGACAAAUGUUCGUAACAUUGGCUGACCGCUACGUUACAGCUAUCAAACACGGCGCUGUCCCAGAUGUUGAUGAGGCAUUUACAGCUGUAGCGAAAAUGGAAAAUGCUAAAAUUGAAAAAGUGGCUGUAAAAAUCUUUGAAGUUAAAAUGAAAAAAGAGAAGCUGCCAGUCUCUGAAAGAACUUUAAGAAAACGUUACACAAAGGCACAGAAGAAAGCGCUAGAUCAUCUUUGACAAAACGCUAUUCAUGACUUUGAAUCGAAAUGUGAAAUUCAAGCUCAGAGGAAAAUGGAUGCAAUAUGGGACAGUAUUAACGAGAUUAAUGAGAAAAAAGUUCUAGAAAAAUGUGAGAAUACAUUGCAAAAUGUGUUUGUGAAAUAUCUUGAAAAGAAGUUAGAAAAUCAAGAGUAUGAAAAAGCAGGUGGUCAUCGAAGUUUUAAGCGUGAUGUUGAAAGAACCAAAGAUGAAUAUGUCAGUGUUCUCAAAGACUUCGAGAAGAACGAGAUUUUAUCUACAUGGUAUGGAUUUUUAGAAAAAAAAGACAACAGCUGAAGCAAGGAUAGUUGAAGCUGAUGAAAACAUGUCACAAAAGGAGAAACAAGCCGAGCAAAUGCGAAACCAAGAAAAACUUGAAGAAUUAUUAAAACAACAACAAAAAGCUCAAGAUGAUGCGUUAGACAAACAACAGCAAUACUUAGAAGAUCAUUACGAAAAGCUAGAUAAAGAUCGUCGUGAACAGCAAGUAGCGAAUAACGAAAAGUAUAUGGCAUUAGUGAAAGAAAGGUUGGAAAAAGAGGCAGCACAAAAGGAAGCUGAACGCUGCAAACUUGCACAAGAAGCUACAGAAAGGGAAGCUGCACGCCUUAAAAAGGAACAACAAGAUGCACUUGAGAAAGCUGUGCGCAACAAAAAAGAAGCUGCGCGCUUAAAAACAGAAGAAGACGAAAGAAAGAAGAAGUGGAUGCCUUCUAGAGUGUUAGAUGCGAUCCAGAAUAAAUAAAAUAUGAGCAUACAUAUGCCUACUUGGAUAUACUGAGGAUGUCUUUAGUUAGUAUUUAUGGAUGUGUUUUACGUAAAAAGGUGUGACAUCGUCUUUAUUUUAUUUUACUUUGGUGUGUUAUAACGACAUAAAGGUGUAUUGUUUUAUGCACAUAAUUGCCAAACAUUACAAAUUAGCAUUACAUCUAGCUUCAUAUAAAAUAUAUUUUUGAUUUUAUAAGUUCAUUUUGAACAAACGCAAUGAAUGGUUUGUGACGUUUUCGCAAUAUUUUGUUCUUGAAAUUUUCAAAGUCUAAACAGAAAUGAUUCAGUGUUUGGUAUUCAGAAUAAAUUAAUAUACAGAUGACAAAUAAACAAGGUUGACUAUUCAAUGAGAUGAGGUUAAAAGCUGAAGCGAGAUUGUGCUUAAACGAUUCAGAUGUUUCUUUGAAAAGAUGAGGAUUUUACUAAAAACAUAUAUUUUUGUCAGCAAUCAAUCACUUAUUGAUUAAAUGUUUUCUUCUUGCAACUGAGA